AGCCGCACCACGUGUACCGUGUUGACUGUCAAAGCGUCCCGGAGCCCGGUUCCCGGAAGCGGUGAGCCCCGACGCUGCGAACCCCGAACCAUGAGCGCCCCGGGCGUGCUGUCGUUCACCCAGCAAGGCUGGGAGCAGGUGCUGGCCAAAGUGAAACGCGCGCUCGUCUACCUGGACGCCGCCUGCGCCGAGAGCCUGCACUGGGGCUGCGGGGCGUCGCGGCUGCUGGAGGCGGUGGGAGGCCCGGCGUGUCACCUGCGGGAGUUCGAGCCCGCGGCGGUGGGCGGGGGCGCCGAGCAGCCCAAGGCCGUGUUCGUGCUGAGCUGCCUGCUGAAGGGCCGGACCGUGGAGACCCUCCGGGAGAUCGUCGGCCGCAGUCGCUUCCAGUACUGCGUGGUGGUCACCGCCGUGAGCCACGCUGCCCACCUCACCGCUAAUCACGUGCCGGCGGCUGCAGCGGCCGAGCUGGAGGGGCAGCCGGUGUUCGAGCAGCUGGAGGAGAAGCUGUGUGAGUGGAUGGGCAACAUGAACUACACGGCCGAGGUGCUGCACGUCCCGCUGUGGCUCGCCCCCGUGGCGCCCCACCUUGCCUUGACCCCGGCCUUUGCUUCCCUCUUCCCGCUCCUGCCCCGGGAUGUGCAUCUCCUCAACAGGGCUCGUCCAGACAAGAGGAGGCUAGGAAGCCUGAGCGAGGUGGAUGCCGCCGCCCUGCCCCCCGAGCUGCUUCUGCAGAUCAGGUGCCUGGUGUCAGGCCUCAGUUCUCUGUGUGAACAUUUGGGGGUGCGGGAGGAGUGUUUUGCUGUAGGUUCCCUCAGCCGGAUCAUCGCCGCGGAUCUGGCUAGUUACGCCCCUGCCAAGAACAGGAGGAAGACCGCCGCCGGCAGGGCCUCAGUGGUCUUUGUGGACAGGACUCUGGAUCUCACGGGAGCAGCUGGGCAUCAUGGAGACAACUUGGUAGAGAAGAUUAUUUCAGUGCUUCCCCAGCUUCCAGGCCACACCAACGAUGUGAUGGUUAACAUGGUGGAACUUACGGCACUCCAGAAUGAGGAGAAAAAUCAGAGUAUGAUUGCACCAGGCUGUCUUGCACAAUCCAAUGACACAGCUGCCAAAGCUCUGUGGGAAGCCUUACUGAGCACCAAGCAUAAAGAGGCAGUGAUGGAAGUCCGGAGACAUCUAGUGGAAGCAGCAAGCAGAGAAAACCUGCCAAUCAAAAUGAGUAUGGGAAGAGUCACCCCAGGGCAGCUCAUGUCCUAUAUUCAGCUCUUUAAGAACAAUCUCAAAGCUAUAGUGAAUCACUGUGGGCUUCUACAGCUUGGGCUGGCCACAGUUCAAACUCUGAAACACCCGCAGACUGCCAAGUGGGACAACUUCCUGGCUUUUGAAAGACUCCUUCUCCAGAGCAUUGGGGAGUCAACAAUGUCUGUUGUGUUAAAUCAGCUGCUGCCCAUGAUUAAGCCUUUGAACCAGAGGACCAAGGAUGACUACAGCCCUGAAGAGUUGUUGAUCCUCCUGAUAUAUGUUUACUCUGUCAGUGGAGAGUUCACAGUGGAUAAAGACUUGGGAGAAGCUGAUGAAAAAGUGAAGGAAGCAUUGGCUCGGGUCUUUUGUGAAGAAUCUGAGUUGUCACCUUUGCUACAAAAAAUCACAGGCUGUGACUCUUCAAUUAAGCUGACAUUUCACAAAUCCAAAAUUGCUGUGGAUGAGCUCUUUGCCUCGCUUCGGGAUAUCGCUGGAGCUCGGAAUCUCAUGAAACAGUUUAAGUCUGUGUAUGUUCCUGGAAACCAUACCCACCAGGCAUCCUAUAAGCCAUUGUUGAAGCAGGUUGUGGAAGAAAUAUUUAAUCCUGAGAGGCCAGAUCCAGUGGAUAUUGAACACAUGUCUUCAGGCCUCACUGAUCUCCUUAAAACUGGAUUCAGCAUGUUUAUGAAGGUGAGCCGGCCUCAUCCCAGCGACCACCCUCUGCUGAUCCUCUUCGUGGUGGGCGGAGUCACUGUCUCUGAAGCCAAGAUGCUCAAAGACCUCGUGCCGUCCCUGAAGCCGGGAACCCAGGUCAUCGUGCUGUCCACGCGACUCCUGAAGCCGCUUAACAUUCCUGAGCUGUUAUUUGCCACCGACCGGCUGCAUCCAGACCUUGGCUUCUGAGCGAUGCUGCUGCUGCGAUGACACCUGCCCGCGGUGGAAACACCUGUAUUGCCGCCUGCCGCCCUUCACGACCCGCCUCCAAAACCAACGUCCUCUGCCCAUUGUGGGGAGGACGGAAUUCUCCCUGAAGGGUCUUGACAACACGUAGCGAAGGACUGCGCUCGGAUUGCCAGGGAUUCUUUAAAAAAAAAAAAAAAUCAUCUUCCUAAAGGUAUCAAACUUUCGGCCGGCUUCAUUCAACCUAAUUCUCAUUUCUCCUUCACCCUGUUGUUGACCUUCCUGAUUCCAACGGCAAGGUUGUCAGUGCUACGUAAGCACCUGUUGGCGAGCGCUGGCGGAUUACGAGCCGUUUGGUUGCAGUCGCUCAAGAAAUGAGACCUGCUUUGGACUUCCGGGUGCGAGGGAAGUGUGGCUUUCCCUAAGAUGAUGUAACUGGAGGUGGGGGGGACAUUGCAGAUGGGAUCUGGGACCUCGCUGAGAGGCCGGAGGGGCGGGUGGCAGCUGGGGCCUGCCCUGUCCACCCGUCCGGCCACUGUCCCCCGUGCUCGCACGCAGGGCCACCGGCCCACUUGGAACAGUGGUGGGGGAGGUGGGUUGGGCGGCUGUCCCUGCCUAGCAAAGGGCUUCCUCCCCGCCCAAGGGAAGGCCCCCUAAAGGUGUCUGGUCCAGGGAGUCCAGACGGGGACCCUGACCCCCGGGACCUCCAGGAGUCCGCGUUCCUACUGAAAUAGAAAGCUCACUUUUUCUGUUGGUCUGACUUUUCCUUCCGGUUAUGACAGAAAACCCUCGACCCCAUGAGUGAAGCUAGUUAAGAACCCCGGCAAAAAUUAACUGCUUGGAGCCCAGCCAUGCAUUUGUGUAGGUGUAGGGUUUGCGGAAAUUUCUAGCGCCUCCGAAAGAUGUUUGUAAUGAAGAGAGGAAGCGGAAAAACCACUCUAGAGUGGAUUAAACAGGUAGGGACGCGAAAUGUCAGUCAAAACACUCACACGUGUCUCAGAUUUUAGUUCCCUCUAAAAUAAUGUCAUUUUAUGAAAAAGACUGUGAAGUUGGAAAGCAUUCGGAGACACGAUCACAGCAGGUCUUAUACACACCAGUGUUCUUUUUCUUUCCUUUUUCAUUUUUUUCUCUUUUUUUGGUCCGAGUAUGCUUUCCAGCUAACUCCAGUGGUGCUGAUCCUGGAGAGCCCCCAUGCCUCUUUCAUUCCCCUUUAUCUAGAAGCUUGAAUCUGAGGAAGGAAGAAAAUGGCAAUAGCCCGAAAGAAAUGAUACUGAGUGACACGUUCCAGGCACUGGGCUGGGUUCCGGCCACGCUGGUGAGGGACCCAGACGCGACGCCCCUGACUCUGGGGCUCUCGCCGACUGAGCAGCUGGGGCUCCUGGUGCCCUGGCCCUGUGAGAAGUUUUACACCGUACGUCUGUGUGCAAAGGUCACUCUCAGGGCACCUGGGGGCUCAGCGGUUGAACGUCUGCCUUUGGCUCAGGGCACCAUCCUGGGGUCCUGGGAUCGAGUCCCGCAUCAGGCUCCCCACAGAGCCUGCUUCUCCCUCUGCCUGGGUCUCUGCCUGUCUCAUGAUUAAAUAAUGAAAUCUUUUAAAAAAGGAAAAGGAAAACAAACUCUGGAAAUUUAAAAAUCAAACUGCUAACAAGUAGUAACCUCUGGGAAGGGGUACAGGUGGGAGGGCUCAGAAAAGGGGAAGCCUCGUUCUCUAUAGACUUCUGUGUUGUUUGAGUUUUCUUCACAGCGAACACGUACUGGUGUGUCACUUGUGUGGCUUUAGUGCAGUUCUACAAGUUCUUCUUUUAAAAAAAGAAUACUCGCAACCUUCUAAUCCGGACUCACACAAGCAGGACGCCCCUGAUUGUAAGUGUGGUCGUCCAGCAGGUACUGUGCCCCCCCAGGGGGGUCUCUGUGGGGCCAGGGGGUGCGAGGGGGGAAAGAUGU